rnacentral:tRNA from 1 species
GGAGAGGUGGCAGAGCGGCUGAAUGCGCGACAUUGCUAAUGUCGUGACCUCGUAAGGGGUCCGCGGGUUCGAAUCCCGCCCUCUCCGCCA